rnacentral:rRNA from 1 species
CGAACGAGAAACCUCGAGCUUGCUCGAGGGAGUAAAGUGGCGCACGGGUGAGUAACACGUGGGUAACCUACCCCCGAAUCUGGGAUAACCUCGCGAAAGCGUUGCUAAUACCGGAUAUUGUCCUAUCGGUUGUGACCUUUGGGAUGAAAGGCAACCUCUUCAUGAAAGUUGUCGUUCAGGGAUGGGCCCGCGUACCAUUAGCUUGUUGGUGGGGUAACGGCUCACCAAGGCUACGAUGGUUAGCUGGUCUGAGAGGAUGAUCAGCCACACUGGAACUGAAACACGGUCCAGACUCCUACGGGAGGCGGCAGUGAGGAAUUUUGCGCAAUGGGGGAAACCCUGACGCAGCAACGCCGCGUGAGUGAAGAAGGCUUUCGGGUCGUAAAGCUCUGUCAAGUGGGAAAAAAGUCUGAUGAUUAAUAGUUGUCAGAUCUGAUGGUACCACUGGAGGAAGCACCGGCUAACUCCGUGCCAGCAGCCGCGGUAAUACGGAGGGUGCAAGCGUUGUUCGGAAUUACUGGGCGUAAAGGGCGUGCAGGCGGGUUGGUAAGUCAGAUGUGAAAGCCCUGGGCUCAACCCAGGAAGUGCAUUUGAAACUGCCAUGCUAGAGUAUGGGAGAGGGAAGUGGA